UUUUUCAGGCGUUCUUUGAACUUUCGUGUUGGGCCAAGGUCGAUGAUGAUGUCGGUGGAAGGGUCUUCCUAAAGGUCAACUGCGUCGCUGAUGCGUGUCGUUUGAUCAAAUUUAUUUCUCUAUUUCGGGAGGCGAUGACAGGAAGCUGUUGAGCAAAGUGCGCCAAAGUGGCGACGUAGAACAAGUACAUAUACAUACGCAGGUUGAACGCGAGCGUAAAUUCGUCAUCGCGACGCGUCACCACGACUGAUCCGCCUACGCACAAAACGAUCGAAAACAUCCCCCAUCCUCUUCCAUUUUGCUAUGAAAAAGCCGGAGUGUCGGCCGUGUGCAACGCGACGACCGAGCAUAACAGAAAGAAUAAGAGAGAAUAAAAAACAAAAAGAAA